rnacentral:lncRNA from 10 species
GUGCACUGAACAGAGGCAGCAAGUGAGCAGAACAACUCAUCAUGACGGCUUUUUGUCCUUGUCUCCAUGCAAGCCAGGUGUUAUUUCUGUGGUUUCGGACGUUGGUAUUGAUGCACGGUUUUUUAAAAGGGGAGGCUAAAGUCCCAGAGUUUGGUAGACUGCACCUCUCCAGAUGAGAUUUUAAGAGCCCCCGAUUUUCACACAUGGGGAGAGUGAUUGCCCUCACAAACUCUUCCUCCUCAUUGUGGUUUCUAGGUUUUCACUUUGUCAGACAUUUUGAGUUUCGAUCACAAACACUCCACGUUCACAUCACCCAUGCAUGCUGCCCACCCGUAUCCACAAGGCUGCUGUGUCUACUCUGCUCCUGUUUUCCAAAGCACCCCUUCCAUCAGGAAAUGUGCCUUCCAUUCCUAGGGAUGUCAUGAUUCCCAGCUUUCAUAUCUCCUCACAGAGGAGGUUCCCAAAUUACUCUGGGUUCUCAGUCCAGAAGUUGAGCCUUUAAAACCCUUUUCUGUCAUAUGGUCAGUCCGUUGCAGGGUGCAGCCCCUCAGCAGCCAAGAUUCCCUGUGGAUAGCUCUUCAAUCUGAUUGCCUGGGCUUUCUCCAUCAUGAAACCUUUCAUCUCCUUGGUCCUUGUCACACACCCUGAACCCCAAAAUAGAAAAGCCACAACAGAAUGAAGUAGAUGAGAAACAAUCUCCUUGUUUAUAAUUCCGUUUAUUUCCUCACAUACCAGCCAAGCUUCUCAGUCAGGCAGACACAAUAGAUGGAAUGGCAAGGGAAGUGAAGAGUGGAGGCUGCAUCCCUUCAGCCGCCAGCUGAUGUUCUGCUUAUUUCGCAUACCGGAACUCCCAGGCGUCCUCAAACCACAAUCACAGUUGUUGGUUCCAGAAACAUCUUCUUUGGAAAAACAUGUGACAUCAGUUUCCUCAGAGUCUUCCGGACAAUCCAGUCACACAGAACUGACAAAACCUUGUCAGGUGAGAAGAUAAGGAUCUUCUUCAAUACAGAAUAUGUCAACAUCUCCUUCUGAAUAGUUCCGUUUAUUUGCUCACAUACCAGCCAAGCUUCUCAGUCAGCAGGCACAAUAGACUGAAUAGGAAGGGAAGUGAAGAGUGAAGUCUGGAUCCGUUUAGCCUCCAGCUGAUGUUCUGCUUAUUUCCUGUACUGGAACUCUCAGAAGUCCUCAAACCACAAUCACAGUUGUUGGUUCCAGAAACAUCUUCUUUGGAAAAACAUGUGACAUCAGUUUCCUCAGAGUCUCCCGGACAAUCCAGUCACGCAGAACUGACAAAACCUUGUCCAGUAAGAAGGUAAGAAUCUUCUUCAAUAGAGAAUACGUCAACGUCUCCGUGAACGAAGAGAUCUGCUGGUUCCAAGGACUUGUCGUGGAUUUCUGUCCUAGAUACUUUCUUCCGUAAUUCAAGAUAAAGAAAAUUACAAUCUCUGCUGUCCAUUCCAUCGCUUUUCCCUUCAGAAUCAUAAUCAGAGAAUCCUUGCAGAACGUCGUGAGUGUGCUCUCAGCUGCAAUCACCAGAAGGACUCUUCACACUCGGUGAGUCCUCCUCAUUUUAUAGAAGCCAAAGCAGUGACGUAUGCUCACCCCUCCCGCCCCCAGGAGAGAGGUUGCUGGCCAAUGAGCUUGAGCUUCGUCAUCCUUCCAAGCCCCACCCAGUUCCUUUGCUUCCCUUUCACCAACUUUGACUGAAAUGAAUAGGUUACAACCUUUAGCUUUCUGCCCCUUGGAAAACGGAAGCAUUUAGACAUCCGUAUUAAUAUUUGGAUCUAGAGUGUUCGUGUUUUAGCACUUCCUUUUUUGAAAGGAGAAGCAGACGUGUUGUGUUUUUAGGAACACUUCCAAGAAGUUUCUCCUCCUCUAUGAUGAAACCAACACAAGAAAGCCAAAAGGGCGUUUAACCCCUUGAAGCACUGAGAGUUUCCCUGCUGAUAUUCUUAGACUGUUCUUUUUCUAAAACGAGAAAGAGGUAAGUUCUCUUUUUUUUUUUACACUGCCCAAAACUCUCUCUGCUCAGUGCUGGGCACUGGAAAACAAUGGCCCUCUCUCUGGAAACCACUAUCUGCCAUCUCAAGGGCCCACUACAGGUCUGCCCAGCAUUUUCAUCCCUUCCUCAAGUCUGGUGCCCAGGACCCUCCUCUGCUCUGACAGCCAGGCAGCAGCACUCAAACUCCCCUCCCCUCUUAGCCUUCAUACCUUCAGCUGCACUUCUGCCUCUGCAGUGUCAGGAUGACCUCCCCUUCCUCCUGUCCUUCCUCAUUCUUAAGACUUCCUACCCCUUCUGGAUUAAUUUAUGGAAAACCUAAAUAAUCUCUUUCAAAUUUUAGCCCACUUUUUACAUGUAGAUUGUUUUAUAAGAUGAAUUUUAACAAACCUUUUCUAAGUUGUUCAACCAUUUUCUUUUGUCUUUUUGUUAUUUUAUUUCCUGAAUUUAAAAUAUUUGAAAACCUCUAAACUUGACAAAACUAAUUUUUUCAUAAAAGCUAUGUUCUCAUGUCCUUUUAUAAACUUUGACUUAAAAUAUAUUUUACUUGUUCAGUCAGAUUUGUGUGUGAAAAUUUUUAAGUAGCUUUAGAUACAAAUAUUAAUUAUAAUGGUAACUCUUAAGUAUGCAUUUUUAGUAAACCACUUAGGAGACAACCAAUUUUAAUUAUGUCCUUGAUGUAGAGCUUAAAGAAAAAGAUGGAGCUGUAGAAAACAUCUUAGUCUUGAAAUAUCUUACUCUUCCCAGUAUAAGGGGGGGCAUGGCCCUAUUUCACAGGUGCCCAGGCCUUAGCUAGAAAUGGAUGGUUCCAAGACAUGUCAAAAAACUGUUUGAAAGGUUUUAGAAGUUGUUAAUGACAUGAAAAUAUUUAGUAAAGGCAGUAUUUGAUCUGUCUAAUUUGGAUCCAAUAUCUAAACUCUGAAGACAUAUUUAUUUUAUUUUGCUAAUUUUAAAAGUGGCUUUAUUUUUUAAAAUAAUGUUUAUGUUUCUUUCAAUAGUGUGUGGAAUAUAUGUGGUUUUUGGUUAUGUGGAUAAAAGUUCCUUAGUGGUAAUUUCUGAGAUUUUGAGGCAUCUGUCUCCUGAGCAGUGUAUAAUAUACCCAAUAUGUCAUCAUUUAUUCCUCAUCCCCCUCCCAACCUUUCCCCGAGUCCCCAAGUCCAUUAUAUCAUUCUUAUGCCUUUGCAUUCUCAUAGCUUAACUCUCAUUUAAAAGUGAAAACAUUCAAUAUUUGAUUUGCCAUUCCUCAGUUACUUCACUUAGAAUAAUGGCUUCCAGUUCCAUCCAACUUGUUGCAAAGGACAUUAUUUUGUUCCUUUUUAUUAUCAAGUAUUAUUCCAUGGUGUACCACAUUUGCUUUAUCCACUCGUUCGUUGAUGGGCACUUAAGUUGGUCCCAUAUCACUGCAAUUGCGAAUCGGCUGCUAUAAACAUCCAUAUUCUUGUGUCUUUUUUAUGGAAUAACUUCUUUUCCUUUGGGUAGAUAGCCAGUAAUGGGAUUGCUGGAAUGAAUGGUCUACUUUUAGUUCUUUAAGGAAUCCCCAUACUGUUUACCAUAGUGGUCGGACUAGUUUAAAUUCCCACUAGCAGUGUCAAAGUGCUCCCUUUUGACCACAUCUAUGCCAACAUCUAUUGUUUUCUGACUUUUAAAUUAUGGGCUUCUAGCAAGAUUAAGAUAGCAUCUCAUUGUGGUUUUGUUGUGGGAUUUAGGAGGAUGAGAGAGAGGCUUUGGGUUAAAACAGGAGAAUCUUUUAUUGAGUGCUCUCAGGCCCAGCAGACUCACGUCCAAAGACAGGGCCUGGAACAAAGACAGCACUUGACUUUUAUACACACUUCACAAAAGGGGGUGGGCCAGCUUGAAGCAAGCUUACAGUGGUGUGAAAGCAGGGAUACAGAGGCAGGAAAAAGACAGUUAAUCAAAUUGUAACAGGUUCAUAACUCAGGAUUGCACAUAACUGUUGCUAUGCAACCCAGAUGUCUAUUAUCUAGGUUUUGCUCUAAAGAGGCUUGCAUUGGUUUAUCUUCACUAUGGUGCCUAGAGAGCUGUAGUUCAGGCCUGCUCAGGCUUCUCAUGACCUUUGCCAUACUUCUUAGAUAAAACAGAAUACUUGAAGUUACUAGUUAAAGAGAACAAGAAUCUAUAAACUCAUACCAUAAAACAAAGGAAAAUUUGUUUUUCUUCUCCCUACAUUGAAGGAGUGCUGGAAGAGUCUCCAGAAUACAAUAAAUAAUAUUAUCAAGACUUUUCCUGGGUCUGGGCUGUGCCUGUUGCUGCCUCUGGGACAAGUUAGCUUAAUACAAGAAAGCUUAUUUCCCUUUCUUUUUAAUUUUAUUUUUCUUUAAUUUCCCACCUCAGUUUUACUUUGCAUUUCCCUGAGAAUUUUUAAUAAGUAAAAUACUUAGAAAUAUACUUAACCAAGUAGGUUAAUGUAAGUUUCCUACAAGGAAAACUACAAAAUAGUGCUGAAAGAAAUCACAGUUGACACAAACAAAUGGGAACACAUUAUAAGCUUAUGAAUAGGUAGAAUCAAUAUUGUGAAAGUGACCAUACUCUCCAAAGCCAUCUACAGAGCAGUAGAAUUCUCAUCAAAAUAUCAUCAUUCUCCUUCCCAGAACUAGAAAAAAGAAUCCUAAAAUUUAUACAAAACCAAAAACGUGACCGCAUAUCCAAAGCAAUACUUUGCAAAAAGAACAAAUCUGAAGGCAGGCUUUAAAUUAUACUACAAGGCUACAAUCACCAAAAUAGCAUGAUACUGGUAUAAAAUAUGCACAUAGAGCAAUAGAACAGAAUAGAGAACCCAGAAAUAAAGCCAAAUGCUUACAGACAACUAAUCUUCAACAAAGUACACAAAAACAUUAAUUGGGGAAAGGAUACUUUAUUCAAUAAAUGGUGCAGGAAGUAUAAAAAUAGGCACAUAGAGCAAUGGAACAGAAUAGAGAACCCAGAAAUAAAGCCAAAUGCUUACAGACAACUAAUCUUCAACAAAGUAUGCAAAAACACUAAUUGGGGAAAGGACACUUUAUUCAAUAAAUGGUGCAGGAAGUAUAAAAAUAGGCACAUAGAGCAAUGGAACAGAAUAGAGAACCGAGAAACAAAGCCCGGUACUUUCAGUCACCUGAUCUUUAACAAAGCAUAUAAAAACUUCCAUCUAAGACCUGAAAGUCUAAAAAUGCUACAAGAUAGCAUCCAAAAAGCUUUUCUAGACAUUGGCUUAGGCCAAGUAGUCAUGACUAAUGCCCCAAAAGCAAACGCAAAAAUAUAAAAAUAGAAUAAGAUCAAUAGGACCUAAUGAAACCGAAAAUCUUCUGCAAGGCAGAAGAAAUAUCAGCAGGGUAAACACACAACCCACAGUAUAGGAAACAGUAGUCACAAACUAGGCAUCUGACAAAGGACUAAUGUCCAGACUCCAAAGGAACUGAAAGAAAUCAGCAAGAAGAAAAGGUGCCAUUUACCACCUUCCUGACUCAUUGGCCAGAACCAAUGUUAGUGGAAUUAACAUAUGCCCCACCCCAAGUGACUUCUAAAGGGCUAACUCACCACAAGGGAGUCAGAGCAGAUCUUGGACUGAGACCUACAGGACACAGCGACUCUUAAAUAGGUGGCUCACCAGGAGAAAGGCAUAGCAGAACCUGGACUGAGACCUACGGGAGACAGGUAUUGCUUUUUCUCUUCUAAUCAUUUUAAAUUUAAUUUACCAUCUUUCAUCAAAUAGCUCCGAUCAUAUCAUUAUUUUUUCUUUUCUGUUUUGUUGGUGGUUUUAUUGGUGGAGUUUUAUUUUACUAUUUUAGAAAAGCAGUCUUUUAAAAAAGACUUUUAAAAAGUUUUAUUACUCUUUUUUUUAAAAAAAUUAUGUUUUCCCUUGAUGUGCUUAUUUCCUUUAUAAAGAUCAUCACCAUUAAAUUACUAGGAGAUACUGCGGCUGAUUUUGUCAUGCGUGAGAUAAGAAAUUUUUUGCCAAAGCAAUUAGUGAUGAGUGCAAUGGAAAAAUCCGUGAUGAUCUUUUAAGAUGAUUAACUUUCUAAUCCAGAAAAUGCUGCUGUUUGUACUGAACAAAAUAGCUUUAUUUUUAUAUGACCAGGGGUACAUAAAAUGCUUCAAAACAACACAUAAUUUGGCAAAAAUACUAUGUCUUGCCAGCCAGAAGAAUAAGUGUGGUUUUAUUUCUAUGUAUAUGUCUAGUACCAUGCCUGCACUAGAGUUGGGAAAUUUUAAAAACAUCACCUAUUGAUACAGAAGAGAAGUGCUGGGAAGGGAAGGGCAUGGUCCCUUUGAAUGAUACAGAAAAGGUGAAGGAAAGUGAUGGGUAGAGGAGGCCGGGGUCCCUGGCUAGGGCUCCAAACCUGGGCUUGUGCCCCUGGACCUAGAUGAGGACAGGCAUUUUUGUUUUCCUGACCAAAUGUUGCAUUUCCCAAGAUCACCCUGGCCCACCAUGCCCUAUCCUGUGCCUAAAAAAACCCUGGGACCCUAGCAGGCAGACACACAGGAGGUUGGACGUCGAGAGGAGCACAUCAGUGCAAGAACACAUGGGUGGCUGCCACUUCUCUCCCUUUCCUGAGAGGGAAAAACUCUCGACGCUGAGAGGAAUCCACCAACAGGCACCAGCACUCUGGCAGGCCACCGACCAAUGGAUUGACAUAGAGUUUGGCUGGGGCAGCCAGAGGAGAGCCUGGGCCGCUGAAUAACCCGACUUCAGGGGAAAACUAUUCUCCCUUUUGGCUCCCCCAUCUGCUGAGAGCUACUUCCACUCAAUAAAACCUUGCACUCAUUCUCCAAGACCACGUGUGAUUUGAUUUUUCUGGUACACCUAGGUAACAACCGCGGGAUACAGAAAGCCCUCUGUCUUUGGGUUAAGGAAUGGGUCUAAUUGAGCUGGUUACCACAAAGCCACCUAUAGAUGGCAAAACUAAAAGAGCACAUGGUACCACAUGUCCACUGGGGCUUCAGCAGCUGUAAACAUCUACCCCUAGAUGCUGCCAUGGGGUUGUAGCCCCACAACUUGCCAGUCUGUAUGCUUCCCUAGAGGUUUGAGCAGCGGAGUACUAAAGAAGCAAGCCACACCCCCACUCCACCUCCUGUGAGGGGGACAAGGAAACUUUUCCCAUUUCAACUGGUGGCUCGUCUGGGAUCUCGGAAGAUCAUCCUGGCCUGCUAAGACCCAUCCUGUGCUUAUAAAAACCCCAAGACCCUAGCAGUCAGACACACAGGAGGCUUGACGUCGAGAGGAGCACAUCAGCGGAGGAACACACAGGCGGCUGGACAUGAAGAGGAACAUGACAACAGGCACCAGCACACCAGCAGGGCACCGACUUAUAGAACGAUGUGGAUUUUGCCUGGGGCAGUCAGAGGAGAGCCAGGGCUGCUGAACGGCCCCAAUCCAGGGAGAAACCAAUCUCCUUUCUGGCUCCCCCAUCUGCUGAGAGCUACUUCCACUCAAUAAAACCUUGCACUCAUUCUCCACGUCCACGUGUGACCUGAUUCUUCUGGAAUGCCAAGGCAAGAACCCUAGGAUACAGAAAGCCCUCUGUCCUUGUGAUAAGGAAUGUGUCUAAUUGAGCUAGUUACCACAAGUUGCCUAUAAAUGGCAAAACUAAAAGACCACACGACCACUGGGGCUUCAGGAACUGUAAACAUCCACCCCUACACACUGCCAGUAUGAGAAAAAUUUGCUGAUAUGUUUUCUGCUGACCUGAUGACAAUGUUCCUAUGGUCACACUAACCACUGCUGGGUAAUUUUCAUCAUGACUCUCGUUUUCAUCUGCUGAAACCAGCCUCCCCAAGAAAGACAACUAUUUUCAAACUGAGGAAAUAAAGUGUUACUAAACCACAGUGUUCUCUCAUGGCUGUUCCUGGAGUUCUUCAAAACACUUGAUAUUAUAAAAUAGAAUUAUUACAGAUCACUGUAUGUUAUGGAUUUAGUCAAAAUGAUAAUUUAAAAUAUGGUUUAAAAUAAAAAACUUUAUUUUCCAAAGAAGAUAGUUUUUUAAACAAGAAUAUCCAAUAAAGACAGUAUGAGGUCAGCUGACUUUAGUGUUGGUGUAUGUGUAUGUGUGUGUGUG